rnacentral:rRNA from 1 species
GACGAACGCUGGCGGCGUGCUUAACACAUGCAAGUCGAACGGAAAGGCCCUGCUUGCAGGGUACUCGAGUGGCGAACGGGUGAGUAACACGUGGGUGAUCUGCCCUGCACUUCGGGAUAAGCCUGGGAAACUGGGUCUAAUACCGGAUAGGAGCCAUUUUUAGUGUGAUGGUUGGAAAGUUUUUUCGGUGUAGGAUGAGCUCGCGGCCUAUCAGCUUGUUGGUGGGGUAAUGGCCUACCAAGGCGGCGACGGGUAGCCGGCCUGAGAGGGUGGACGGCCACAUUGGGACUGAGAGGCGGCCCAGGCUCCGACGGGAGGCAGAAGGGCGGAAUAUUGCACAAUGGGCGCAAGCCUGAUGCAGCGAGGCCGCGUGGGGGAUGACGGCCUUCGGGUUGUAAAAUCCUUUCGCUAGGGACGAAGCUUGUUGUGACGGUACCUAGAUAAGAAGCACCGGCUAACUACGUG